UAAAAAUCCCAUUCCCAAUUUCAGCCGCACCUCCUCAGAUCCUCAUCCUCUCUUCUCUCCUCACGCCUCAGUUCCUCAGAUCCGCCGCUCAGCACUUCGCCGCCAACCGCCACUUCACUUAAAAUCCGACUCUCUCUCACUCCGUCGACUCCGACUCUCCUCAGUUCCUCAGAUCCGCCGCUCGACACUUCGCCGCCAGCCGCCACUUCACCUAAAAUCCGACUCUCCCUCUCACUCUCUGUCCGACUCUCUCAGUUCCUCAGAUCCGCCGCUCGGCACUCCGCAGUCUUCAUGGGGACAUCCGAGGCUGAAACAUCUCCUCUGGAUCUAUCUGGGUACGCUGAUGUUUUGUUUUUAGACCACGAGAGUAUGCAGUUGAGCUCUUGUGAAAUCACACCUGCAGGUGUCCUGAUUCAGGUUCAUUCUAUACGUUGGAGGCUAACACAUGUUUGUAGUUUUUGGAAAACUGGUAGAAGUAUCUCUCUGACAAACACAAUAGAGAUUGCAAGUUGAGGGUUUUGUUUCUGUCAUGUUAUUCCUCCUCCUUUAAUAACACUUCUGUCGAUAUUUUGGAGCAUGUUAUGAAGCUGGAAGCAAAGCCAUUAAAGAAUACUCCACCCUUUUCUCUCAGCAAAGGUAAAAAAGGGCCAUUAAGAAGCUAGCAGCGUUUGAAAAGGACUUAGAAGUGAAAGUCUAAUCAUAUCUUUGGAUUCUAUUUCUGCUGAUGUGAAACUAGAAUUGCCGUCCUUGGCCAUGAUCAUUUCCUCACCCAAAAAAUAAAAAUAAAUAAAUACAAUGACAAAGAUGAUGCUGAAAGAAGAUUUGUUUUAUGAUUAUAAGCUUGGGCAACUUGUGGUAACAUGAAAAUCCCUUUGGUCUGCAAGGCCCAUUUUUGGUGGAACAUGAUAUAUCAACAUCAGAAUUCUAAGAUUUAUUCUCUUAAAAGUUGUACCUCUUUGCUAUCAUUUUCGGCUGCAGACCAGCCACUUGCUCCGAUAAUAAUUAUUCUCCUGUCAUUUCUUCCAUCAUCAUAAGUACAUUAAUGGGCGUUUUGGUUAUUUACAGGAGGAGCAAUCUUAAGUUUUAGUGAGAUAUUUAUUCAUUAUAUGUUGUACUGGUGCUAUACUAACAAAGUUGGAUGAUGAUUGAAAAGGAGAAGCAUUUUGAGCGUUUAGGAGGUAUUUCUUCAGUAUAUCUUAAGAGCUUUUCAGCUUUGUUAUGUACACCUAUAAAAGUUCGUUUUGCUUUACGUAGGUCUGUAUUUAUGGGCACAUAUGAAAGACCAUAGAUAACCCUGCUCACUUCUUCCUUGAAUAAGGCCUAUUAUCCGUCAAAUUAUUUAUCAACAUUUAUCACCCUCAAAGUUAUAGGCUUAUAACUACUAGGUAUUGGCCCCAAGUUCUACUUGAACUUGUAAAUAUUUCUUAUCCUACCCGAUGCGAGACUAUAUUCACGCAUGAAUCCUGAAUUUACCCGUUAGUUCAACUGGUAAUAGUUCAGAAGCACCGCAAUAAUCUCCUCACUGUUGGUGAAACUCAGAGGGAAGCGAAAGCCCUUUAGAUAGAUUGUGCUUUUAUCAUGGAUUUACGGUUCAUUUCUUUCAUCUACAUGUAUAUUUUAAUGUUUGGUGGUGUUUCAAAUUGCCUAUGAAUGUGAUCAUUUUGCUUUACUUUACAAGUCAAUAUAUUUGGUUUAAUUUACAAACCAGUGGAGAACUACCUAUUUUGGUCCUUGUCAAUUGCAAUAUGUUUGAGAUUCGGAAUGUAUCAAAAGUUUGAGCUUGGCUGGAGAUCAAUCAUUGUGGUUACUCAAUGCAGACUCAAGGUCACGUGCCAAAUCUACAAGGUGUCCUGAUUCAGGUUCAUUCUAUACGUUGGAGGCUAACACAUGUUUGUAGUUUUUGGAAAACUGGUAGAAGUAUCUCUGACAAACACAAUAGAGAUUGCAAGUUGAGGGUUUUGUUUCUGGUUAUGAAGCUGGAAGCAAAGCCAUUAAAGAAUACUCCACCCUUUUCUCUCAGCAAAGGUAAAAAAGGGCCAUUAAGAAGCUAGCAUCUUUUGAAAAGGACUUAGAAGUGAAAGUCUAAUCAUAUCUUUGGAUUCUAUUUCUGCUGAUGUGAAACUAGAAUUGCCGUCCUUGACCAUGAUCAUUUCCUCACCCAAAAAAUAAAAAUAAAUAAAUAAAAUGACAAAGAUGAUGCUGAAAGAAGAUUUGUUUUAUGAUUAUAAGCUUGGGCAACUUGUGGUAACAUGAAAAUCCCUUUGGUCUGCAAGGCCCAUUUUUGGUGGAACAUGAUAUAUCAACAUCAGAAUUCUAAGAUUUAUUCUCUUCAGACUUGUACCUCUAUGCUAUCAUUUUCGGCUGCAGACCAGCCACUUGCUCCGAUAAUAAUUAUUCUCCUGUCAUUUCUUCCAUCAUCAUAAGUACAUUAAUGGGCGUUUUGGUUAUUUACAGGAGGAGCAAUCUUAAGUUUUAGUGAGAUAUUUCUUCAUUAUAUGUUGUACUGGUGCUAUACUAACAAAGUUGGAUGAUGAUUGAAAAGGAGAAGCAUUUUGAGCGUUAAGGAGUGGAGAACUACCUAUUUUGGUCCUUGUCAAUUGCAAUAUGUUUGAGAUUCGGAAUGUAUCAAAAGUUUGAGCUUGGCUGGAGGGCAAUCAUUGUGGUUACUCAAUGCAGACUCAAGGUCACGUGCCAAAUCUACAAGGUGUCCUGAUUCAGGUUCAUUCUAUACGUUGGAGGCUAACACAUGUUUGUAGUUUUUGGAAAACUGGUAGAAGUAUCUCUCUGACAAACACAAUAGAGAUUGCAAGUUGAGGGUUUUGUUUCUGGUUAUGAAGCUGGAAGCAAAGCCAUUAAAGAAUACUCCACCCUUUUCUCUCAGCAAAGGUAAAAAAGGGCCAUUAAGAAGCUAGCAUCUUUUGAAAAGGACUUAGAAGUGAAAGUCUAAUCAUAUCUUUGGAUUCUAUUUCUGCUGAUGUGAAACUAGAAUUGCCGUCCUUGACCAUGAUCAUUUCCUCACCCAAAAAAUAAAAAUAAAUAAAUAAAAUGACAAAGAUGAUGCUGAAAGAAGAUUUGUUUUAUGAUUAUAAGCUUGGGCAACUUGUGGUAACAUGAAAAUCCCUUUGGUCUGCAAGGCCCAUUUUUGGUGGAACAUGAUAUAUCAACAUCAGAAUUCUAAGAUUUAUUCUCUUAAAAGUUGUACCUCUUUGCUAUCAUUUUCGGCUGCAGACCAGCCACUUGCUCCGAUAAUAAUUAUUCUCCUGUCAUUUCUUCCAUCAUCAUAAGUACAUUAAUGGGCGUUUUGGUUAUUUACAGGUAUAACUACAACUAAAGCUACAAAUUGUUUGUUUCUUUUAUAGCUAGAGUUAUAUUGAUUUGGUUACCUUUUGUUUUAAACUAAACAGUCCCUAAUUGUAUGGUUAUGCAAAUUAUUAAACUAAACAGUAUACCGACAACUUGGGUAUAUAUCAGGGAAACUUAUUUUAAUUUCCCCCCCUCGAUUCUCCUAAAUCCCUCCUCCCUCGAUUACGGCGAGAUUUUGGCCCUGGAUUCCAUCCCAGCGAACCGAAGGAGGUUAUGCUGAAAGGCUUCAAGGUAUCGAAUUGAUCUCGUUAUCUUUUGAUUUGUCGGAUUGAAACCCUAGAUUUUGAGCUCAAUUUUAGCGAUUUCGGUUGUGUUUAGGGAUCUGGCUGGUGUUGAUCAGUUUGUUUGAAUUUGAUUCAGAUACUUAGAAUUUUGACUUAGUGUUAGGGUUUUGGAUUGGAAUUUGGUUGUGGAUGAUGAUGAUUGGUUGGGAUUAGGGUUUCUAAUAGGGGGAGCUAGGGUUUACGAAUCCAUGA